rnacentral:lncRNA from 1 species
ACGAGUUCUGGUACCUCCCUUGUGCUACACUCCCAAAAUACCUCUUCCACAAGAAGAGCAGAGAAGGAAGGCUUAUUUCUUUCUUUUUCCUUUUUCUUAUCAAACAGAAAAAUGAGAACGUCUUGAAAUUCUAGCUAAAAGGAUGUCACAGUUCUAUUGAUUUGAGUUCCCAGCCAGAAACCAAGGAAAUAUGUCCAACUGCUUAGCCAAAGUUCUGGACACCAUUAUCAAAAGAAAAGACACGUGUUGGCAGAGGACAUACCACCACCGCUGCCAGCAAGGCAACAAUCCAACCAUUGUGGACCCACACCACGCAGAGGAAGACUAUCCCCACGACACUUCUACCAUGUUGUUCCUUUUGGGUGCAAGCUGCUCUCAUGGGUUUGGCUCCCUGUAGCAGACACUCCAAAUUAUUGUGACUGAAAGAAGAUUGAAAUCCGUCACUUUCUCGUGUUUAAAAAUUUGAGGAAGGAAGCUCAGAGGUGCUAUGGAGGCUCCAUAGUCAUCUGGCAUCUUAGCAAUUUCCAAACUUCCAUUCCCUCCACCUUUCCCACAAUAUAGUUCUCAUUCUCCUCAUUUAUGGUGGAUACUUAGUUUUCUAGCAAUGCUAAAAUGAGUGACCACAAAUGUGAUGGCUUAUUGCAGCAAAGAUUUCACCUCUCCUACUUCUAAAGCCAUUAAUCUAUCACGUUUCCCCAGGCCCAAAACAAGAAGACUGCGCUCCCUCCAGAACCCUUGGGGAGAAUCCAUGUCUUGCCUCUUCCAGCUUCCUGUGCUGUGUGCGCUCCUGGUCAAAAAGCCACAGUCUCUGUGACUGCAUUGCUUUCUCCUCUUCAGCCUGUGUCAAAUCUCUGUUUCCUUCAUAUAAGAAGAUACAUGAUUAUGUUACGGUCUGAUAUGAUUUGAACGUCCUCUCCAAAAUUCAUGGGAAAUGUAAUUGUGGUUGGGACAAUGUUAAGAGGUAAGCCCUUCAAGAGGGGAAAGGACAUAGGCUCGCUCUCCUGCAGGAUGGAGCCUGGCACUUCUGCAGCACAUAUAAAGUGGGACACUUUGGCCCCCCUUUCCUUUCUUGGUCUCACAUUCUUACUUUCUCUUCCUCCCUCCUACAUGGAAUGAGGUAGCAUGAAGGCCCUUGCCAGGUGAUGGCUCCGUUUUCUCAGCUUCCCAGUCUCCAGAACCGCAAGC